rnacentral:RNase_P_RNA from 1 species
CGGGAGACCGCUGGCGCUGGAACAGAAACGAGACCCCUCUCCCCGACCGAUGAGGCGCGCGAACCCCGAGCGAGGCAUCCGCCGAAGCGAGGGGGAGUUAACCCGCCGAGGGAUAGCGUGGUCGCGUCAGCGACCACGUUGAUGCCGAACGGGCUUCGGCCCGUUCGCGUUUCCGAGACGGCUCCGCCGUCUCGCCACGGGAGAGAACGGAUGGAACGGCGAAUCCUCACCGGUGCAAGCCCGCGCGACAGGUAGCCCGGACGCGGCGCGGGCGCUCAGCCGAAUGCCGGUAGAACAGAAGGGGGCUUACUCCCCUCGGCC